rnacentral:pre_miRNA from 1 species
AGUAGGAUAGCUGGGUCAAAUGGUGAUUCUAUUUCAAACUUUCUGAGGAAUCUCCAUACUGCUUUCCAUAGUGGCUGCAUCAGUUUGCAGUUCUACCAGCAAU